GAGUUGGCUGGCCUUCGUGAGUUCUGCGGUAGGAGGAUUACCUGGAGGCCGAGGUGGAGAUGGAGAACGCCAGUGCAGAGCUCUGCUCCGCUUGCCACGGCGCCUCCGGGCUCGGCCAAGCCUGAGUCCUCUGUGGCUGUCAGUCACCAGGGUGGGGAAGUGCCCAGAGGGCGGUCCUGGCGAUGGCUGCGUCUACGAUGCUCCUGCUCUUCAAAAGCCGCCCAAGCUCUUUCAUUUUUCUCCUCAGAAAUGAAUUUUUGCCGGAGUGGUUGGAGUGACCAGCGUCAUAAACCUUGCGAUUUCAGCGCUUCUGUUUUGAAAACCAGCAACAAGCUUCUGGUGUUGGAGUAUGUGAUCCAUUCAAGCUUUCUGUGUGGUGCUGGGCUUGGGGCAGAUACCUGCCGUCCCAAGAACUAAGAGGAUGGCAUCCAUUUGUUUUGUGGUCCCCGUUCUGAUGCUUCUAAAGGCUUUGCUUGUCUGCAGUGCUGGGAUCAGCUCCAUGGACUUGAGGCUGUUAGGCAAGCACUCUGCACCAAGCCAAAGCCCCAGUUUUGCAGAUGUUUUUCCUUUUAAAUAAAAAGGUAAUUGCUCUAGCAGUUUCUGAAUCAAUUUUUUUU